ACAAUCAUCUGUGAUGGUUUGGUGACAUUCACGUGACAAUUCAGAGGAUAAUGCACAUACACUCACUGAUUUCUCAAACAUUUUGGGUUUCGUAGCAUUCAGACUUACUGUUGAUUUUGUUUUUAAUUGCGUAUGGAUAAGUACUGGGAGCGAACUGCGAAAAUACCCCAAGUUUCAUUUUUACUUCCGCUAUGCCGACAUCUUUUUACUCAUUGGAGUCAAAAUUAAUAGGGUUCUUGCUAUGGCAUAAUUUCUAUAAUGUGUGAAAGUUUUAACAUAAUAGAAUAUAUGAAUGGCAACAAUGUAGAUGAACAUGCACUGAAUAGAAUUUUGACCUUAGCUACGUCUUGUAGAGUUGAUGAUGGCACUAAAAUUAAACUGGGUUGUUGCCGUGGCAUUCAUCAAUCUUUUCGAAAAGAUAAACGUGUCAGAUCAAAUUAGUGACCGGUAGAACUAAAACCUCACAAAACCUCGCCCUAUUUUUGCGUAACGGUGCCUUUCUAAUUCCGUUCCUCCACGCGGUGAAAUUGGAAUUGCAGCAUUAAAAAAAGAUGAGUCACAAUCAGCUUUCCAAUUCAAAGUGAGGUACAUUAAAGGAUUCAAUUAACGCCUCGACAUGGAGUAGCUUUGUAAUGGCGAGAGAGAACGGGUUGAUAAAAUGUCAUUUAAAAUGAUUAAUCUGAACAUUUGUCAAGUCUGUGUCAUCCUUUUCUCCUGUGCGUUUGCUGGGAACUGAAAUGCUGGUGGAGGAGAACGUUGAAAAAGAUGAUCCAAGCCCAGAAUCACCUGUUUAAGCAAGAAUAGUUCCAGCGCAGGUAGCAUAUUUUCCACCAGGGUUUUGGAGGUGAUGUCAGGCUCCAAUUGCACUUACAAAGUUGACUGGAAUGAUCUUGAAAUGCCGAAAAUCGACUACACUAGUUUUAAUGAAGGAGAGAGGAAGGUUAGGAGCAGGAACUCACAACAAGGUUUGCAACUCGUAGAUGGCUGCUUCUUUGCAAGAACUGAAGAACCUGGACAGGGCAUCCUGUGCGCAGCUGAGGUGGCAAAGGUCACACAAUGUGCUGCAGGAUACAGAGAAAUUGCUAUUUGCAGGGUAUAGGGCACACUUAUAGGAAGAAAUGCACAACUGGCAAAAAGCCCAUGACGUUGAUGAAUGCUGUCCUCUAAGUGUUAGCUAAAAUUAUCCGAUGAGACGCGGUACGUGUUCCAAUUCACAAGGUUGAUGAAAUGACAGCAGAGGAGGACACGCAUGAGGGUAUUCACCGAUCUCACACACACACAAAAAAAAAGUCAUUUGUCUUUCUGGGAAGGUCUACCUACAUGGAGAAACUAAAUGACAUGUCAAACCAUUUUAUAGAAAUUGGAAGCAUAGAAUUUGAACAUACACCGAUAACGCAGCCUGAGUAGGUUUGCAGGAUUAGUUUGCAACGUGGCACAUAAGCACAUAAUUUCAAAUUAUAUAGAAAUUUAACAUCAAAUCCCUUUUUGAUAUGUAUGUUUCAGGCUGAAGUAGCUUCAAUAGAUUACCUUGUUUAAAGUGGAAGCAAAUAAAUCUACCCAUCCAACCCAAAAAGGGAUUGCCCCAAGGUGCUUUACUGCCCUCGUGUGGUGACUUUCCUCCACUUUCUCAAGGAUAUCGAUUCAAAAGUGGACCACUUGCCACAUACACUGAAUGAUUCAUCCAUCCAUUUCCGAAGCCACUUAUCCUCACAAGGGUUGCGGGAGUGUUGGAGCCUGUCCCAGCUGUCAACGGGCAGGAGGCGGGGCACACCCUGAACUGGUUGUCAGCCAAUCGCAUGGCACAUAGACACAGACAACAAUCUCACACACAAUCACACCUAAGGGCAAUUUAAAUUUUUCUGGGAUGUGGGAGGAAACCUGAGUGCUCGAAAAAAAAAAAAAAAAACAUGCAGGAACGGGGAGAAGAUGCAAAUUCCAUACAGAUAGGGCUAUAUGGUGUUUCACCCCAGUCCUCAGAACUGUGAGGCCAACGCUCUAACCUGUUGUUCCACCGUGCAGCCUGUAUGA